CUUCAAGCGUCGGAAGACUGCACCCAGUUGUUUCUCCAUUGCCGUUUUACACAACAAGUUUGGGCGCGCUUCAGAUCUUGGACCGGCGCCGAUUUCCUUAUCCCCGAUAACACCUUUGCCUCCACUCGGGAGUGGUGGUUGCAGACUAGGGCUGUCAUUCCCAAGCACAUCCGAAGGAAUUUUGACACGGUGGUGAUCUUGAUGCAUUGGAAGAUAUGGAAAGGGAGAAACUCCAGGAUCUUUGACCAGGUGGCAGCUUCGCCGUCCGGCGUUCUGGAGCGGGUAGUAGAAGAUGUGGCCAUGUGGAGGGCUGCCGGAUGCAUCGUUGAUCUGCCAACUUAG
rnacentral:rRNA from 1 species